CGUAAUUUCAUCAGUAAGACAGUAAGCACAACAAGUUUGUUUAUUUGUGUGAGUGUAUGUGUGUGUGUUACAAUAAACACAAAACGCAAAUGGGCCCAUUUGGGCCGUCGAGUGAAUAAAGCAACACACAUGCGAAAUAGUAGAGCAGAAAGAACACACGGCAAAUCCAACAAGAUAACGAAAAUGUAGAUGCGAGUAUGUCGCCAUUGCGUGUAUCUCAAUCACAAGAGGCACGAGCUGAACGUAAUGAACAACGAUUGGAGCAAAGACGAGCGCGCCGUGUCUUAGUGAACAUACGCAAAGCAAAUGAAAGACAACGCCGGCGUCGAGCAUUUACGUCCGAUUAGUUUCUUUGUCUGGCAUUCAAGUAUGAGCCAGAUAUUGAAUAUUACGCUCAUUCGAAAGUGACGAUUGGUGUUACGGACAAGGAAUGUCAUGCGCUUAAAUUCGAAAAUGAGCCAGUCUGGAUGUGAGGCGCGUCGGGAAAAUUGUAACUAUCAGUAAUAGAAAAACCACUAGAACCGUUGAAUCAUCAGCCUGCUCAUCGGCACGGAUGUUAGAACAGAAAACUAAUAGUCC